rnacentral:rRNA from 1 species
CCCUUAGAUGUUCUGUGCCGCACGCGCGCUACACUGAUGCAUUCAACGAGCCUAUCCUUGACCGACAGGUCCGGGUAAUCUUUGAAUCUGCAUCGUGACGGGGAUAGAUUAUUGCAAUUAUUAAUCUUCAACGAGGAAUGCCUAGUAGGCGCAAGUCAUCAGCUUGCGUCGAUUACGUCCCUGCCCUUUGUACACACCGCCCGUCGCUCCUACCGAUUGGGUGUGCUGGUGAAAUGUUCGGAUCGGCCGUUUGUCGCGGUUUCCGCGUCAUGUGGCUGAGAAGUUCAUUAAACCCUCCCACCUAGAGGAAGGAGAAGUCGUAACA